AAAACAGGCGGCGGCGGCGGCGGCGGCGGCGCGGCGCGGCGCGGCGCGGCGGCGCCCAGGUCUACGCCUCUACGGCCUUCUACCGCUCUACCUUUAAAAACUACGGCAGGAAAGGGAGUGGCUAGCUGACUGGCGCAAGACAGACGCGUCAUUCGGACAAUUUGGAAGCGAUUCGUACUCGUUUCUGGUUCGCGGUGCGGAACGAGGCAUCCCGUCUACCAUGUCCGAACCGGAGAGCACCGACGGAAUCUCGAACGGCGAAGCCGAGGAAGGCCGAUCGCUGACGGACCGCCUGAACAAGGCACUCCUGCAGUCGUUCCUACACCGGUUGAACGAGAGCAGCGACGCCGGCGACUCCCCCACCACGGAACACGUAGACAGCGGAUACAGCUUCGAAGACUAAGCCCGACUAAGCUUCGACGUGCCCCCAACAGUCUUCCAAUACACGCUCGCAUUUGUAUCGAAUUGGAGCCAGAACUUACAAUAAAGACAGUAAUGUUUC